rnacentral:rRNA from 1 species
GUGUCAGCCGCCGCGGUAAUACGUAGGGGGCUAGCGUUGUCCGGAUUUAUUGGGCGUAAAGAGCGUGUAGGCGGCCAGGUAGGUCUGGUGUGAAAACUCGAGGCUUAACCUCGAGAUGUCAUCGGAAACCAUCUGGCUAGAGUCCGGAAGAGGAAAGUGGAAUUCCUGGUGUAGCGGUGAAAUGCGCAGAUAUCAGGAAGAACACCAAUGGCGAAAGCAGCUUUCUGGGACGGUACUGACGCUGAGACGCGAAAGCGUGGGGAGCGAACAGGAUUAGAUACCCGUGUAGUCC